AAUCUUCAACUCCCAAUCUAUUUGUUUUGGGGGCUUGGACUUGGGGCGUGCCGGCGAAGGUCGGCUCCUCUAAAAUGCAUCAGCGGAAUUCAACCUUUGGCUUCUGGAAGUCAGUGUGAUAACAACGUUGCGCUGUCCUCCGAGGCUUCAGAGUCCGCUUACAAUGGUCUUCGGACAACCUUCAUCGAAU
rnacentral:misc_RNA from 1 species